GGCUCAGAACGAACGCUGGCGGCAGGCUUAACACAUGCAAGUCGAGCGCCUCGCAAGAGGAGCGGCAGACGGGUGAGUAACGCGUGGGAAUCUACCCAUCUCUACGGAACAACUCCGGGAAACUGGAGCUAAUACCGUAUACGUCCUUCGGGAGAAAGAUUUAUCGGAGAUGGAUGAGCCCGCGUUGGAUUAGCUAGUUGGUGGGGUAAUGGCCUACCAAGGCGACGAUCCAUAGCUGGUCUGAGAGGAUGAUCAGCCACAUUGGGACUGAGACACGGCCCAAACUCCUACGGGAGGCAGCAGUGGGGAAUAUUGGACAAUGGGCGAAAGCCUGAUCCAGCCAUGCCGCGUGAGUGAUGAAGGCCCUAGGGUUGUAAAGCUCUUUCAACGG
rnacentral:rRNA from 1 species